rnacentral:rRNA from 1 species
GAUCCUGGCUCAGAAUCAACGCUGGCGGCGUGCUUAACMCAUGCAAGUCGAACGAGAAAAUCCGGUGUUGUAGCAAUACAAUACUGGGUGAGUACAGUGGCGACCGGGUGAGUAACACGUGGAUAACCUACCUUUGAGCGGGGAAUAACCCUGGGAAACCGGGGCUAAUACCGCAUGACACCUGGCGGCUGCGGCCGCUGGGUUGAAACCUGGUAACGGGGCUCGAAGAGGGGUCCGCGGCCGAUUAGCUAGUUGGUGAGGUAACGGCCCACCAAGGCGAUGAUCGGUAGCCGGCCUGAGAGGGCGGUCGGCCACACUGGAACUGAAACACGGUCCAGACUCCUACGGGAGGCAGCAGUGGGGAAUUUUGCGCAAUGGGGGAAACCCUGACGCAGCAACGCCGCGUGGAUGAUGAAGCCCCUUGGGGUGUAAAAUCCUUUCGGCAGGGACGAAGCCCGGGCAACCGGGCGGACGGUACCUGAAGAAGAAGCCCCGGCUAACUCCGUGCCAGCAGCCGCGGUAAUACGGGGGGGGCAAGCGUUGUUCGGAAUUAUUGGGCGUAAAGGGAGCGUAGGCGGUGUGGCAAGUCUGGUGUGAAAUCUCCGAGCUUAACUCGGAGCGGUCAUCAGAAACUGCCAUGCUCGAGUGUGGGAGAGGAGAGUGGAAUUCCCGGUGUAGCGGUGAAAUGCGUAGAUAUCGGGGGGAACACCAGUGGCGAAGGCGGCUCUCUGGACCACAACUGACGCUGAGCUCGAAAGCUAGGGGAGCAAACAG